CGCCUGUUUUAUCAAAAACAUCGCCUCUUGACAAACUAUAAGAGGUCCAGCCUGCCCAGUGAUAUUAUUCAACGGCCGCGGUAUCCUAACCGCGCGAAGGUAGCAUAAUCACUUGUUCUUUAAAUAGGGACUAGUAUCAAUGGCACCACGAGGGUUGCACUGUCUCCUCUCUCCAAUCAGUGAAACUGAUCUCCCCGUGAAGAAGCGGGGAUAAACCAAUAAGACGAGAAGACCCCAUGGAGCUUAAAAUCUAAUAGCAACUUUGCCACAUAAUCCACCAUAUUUUACAGAGCCAUGCUAGCAAAUUUUAGGUUGGGGCGACCGCGGAGUAAAAAUCACCCUCCAUGACGAAAAGAACUAAACCUUUAUCUAAGAACCACUAUUCUAAGAAUUAGCAUACUAACGACCAUGACCCGAUAAUCGAUCAACGGACCAAGUUACCCUGGGGAUAACAGCGCAAUCUACUUUGAGAGUCCAUAUCGACAAGUAGGCUUACGACCUCGAUGUUGGAUCAAGGUAUCCUAGUGGUGCAGCCGCUACUAAUGGUUCGUUUGUUCAACGAUUAAAACCUUACGUGAUCUGAGUUCAGACCGGACGUCGUGAUCUGAGUUCAGACCG
rnacentral:rRNA from 1 species